rnacentral:rRNA from 1 species
UACGUAGGGUGCAAGCGUUAAUCGGAAUUACUGGGCGUAAAGCGUGCGCAGGCGGUUUUGUAAGUCUGUCGUGAAAAUCCCCCGGGCUCAACCUGGGAAUUGCGAUGGAGACUGCAAGGCUAGAAUCUGGCAGAGGGGGGUAGAAUUCCACGUGUAGCAGUGAAAUGCGUAGAGAUGUGGAGGAACACCGAUGGCGAAGGCAGCCCCCCUGGGCUGAGAUUGACGCUCAGGCACGAAAGCGUGGGGAGGCAAACAGG